UACGUAGGAGACGAGCGUUGUCCGGAAUUACUGGGCGUAAAGAGCGUGUAGGCGGCUUUACAGGUCCGUUGUGAAAACUCGAGGCUCAACCUCGAGACGCCGGUGGAAACCGUAAAGCUAGAGUCCGGAAGAGGAGAGUGGAAUUCCUGGUGUAGCGGUGAAAUGCGCAGAUAUCAGGAGGAACACCAAUGGCGAAGGCAGCUCUCUGGGACGGUACUGACGCUGAGACGCGAAAGCGUGGGGAGCGAACAGG
rnacentral:rRNA from 1 species